rnacentral:lncRNA from 1 species
GGGGAACGGCGAACGCGGCGAGGCGGAUCAGGUCAGGAUCCAGCGCGGCGUCCGGCGCUUCAUGGCCGUGGCGCCUCGGUCUCCUGGGAAGAAGAGACGUGGGAGAGAGAGGAGGUGAGAUGGGGAGAAGAGAAGGCAGAGUAAGGACAGCGCGGAUUCCGGCGAUGGCUCUGGUCGGCGGAUCCAGGUAUGUGUCUCGAUUCAUCUCCUCCCCGUAAAAAACGUAUGUCGCAUCGUUGCUAACUGCUAGAGAUGCCCUUCAUAAGUUCAUCCUGUAGCCAACAACAACCCCCAGGUCGCGUGAGAGUUCAGUGGCAUGGGCAUGCCCUCCCCUGAUUGAUUUUGUAUCAAAGAUUUUGUUGUGGCGUGUGGGCAGCACCCAUGAGUGUUGGAAGUACAUGUUCUGUAUACGUAACAGCUUCUCUGGUGACUUACUCAUCUAAUGGUCAGAUACAAUUUAGCAACAGUGAAUAGCCGCCUGAUAUUUUGUUAUCUGCUUCUGAAUGUUCAUAAUGUGUAAAAUGAAUCAAUUUUACUAUAAUUUUACUUGAGAUGUUGAAUGUGCAAAGUCUUGAGAAAAUUGACUAUAUACUCCCAACACUGCAGGCCAACUCUUGAUGGACUUCCGAAGUGCUGCUGGCCUCCGAAUUUUUUCUGUCGUGUAGCCGCUCCCCAUCUCAGUGUGUGCUAUCCGCGGAAGCCGGCUCCUCCACUCAGGCCCUCCUCUGCAACGCCGACGAGGACGCUACUUCGUCUGAACUGAUCUUCACGACCACGUGCAGGUAUACACAUGUGUUCCCCUGCCACCCCUGCACUGAUUUAAGGCGAAAUCCAAUUGGGAGUUAUUGAUAAGCACCAAUGUAUUCUUGGUUCAGUUCCCCUGUCUUCAAUUACGUUGAUCCUUUUGGUAAGAUCAAACUAAACAUGCUGAGCAUCACUUGCCCGAACAAGCUGAACGCCUUGCUACAUUAUUGCCCAAUUUUGUAAAAUUGAUCAUAGCACUCCUGAUACCAUGUCAUGUUUGCUAAUACUUAUUGAGCCAUAAAACGAUGUUUUCUGUUUAUAAGCUAGCCCUUCUUAUUAUGUUUCAGAAGAUCGAUAGUACCCAUUACAUUACUACAGUACAGUGUAAUAUGAGAACCUGAGUUUUGGUUGCGAAGAAAAUGUUUGUGCUAAUUCCCACAAGAAAUUUGUGUUUGAAGAAUUAUUACUUUAUCAGGGAAAUAUCUUUUAUAUGGCUUCAUAAAAUCAAAUUUGACACUAGAUUUGCAGAAUGACUAAGCGGCAUAGGAAAUUGAUUUAGCACUACCUCAGUAAACAUGAAGACUUAUUCUUGAUUUUGUGUUGAUGUUUCAGAUGGAAUUUUUUUCAUAUGACAUCAGGGAUGUAGGAUGAUUGGGUGAACAAGCUUCUUGUGAAACAUCCAUAUCCCGGGGGCGGUGCCUCCGUUCAGCAUCCCACGCGGCGACGUCCUCCGGCAUAAUGGCAAACACUGGCAGGGGAGAAAGCAGAGCGGGAGGGGUAUUGGGUCCAUACCACUGUGGGCAUUGUCAGUGCCAUGAUUGUGGCUAAUACCCACAGGAGAUUCUAUUUCUGUGAGCGGAUUAAACAGAGUUGAGUAAACAUCAUCCAUAGGAGAUACAUGUGCUAAUUAAGUUUAGAGGAGAAAGUGGUUCUUUAUUCUUGUAAUUUUGGUGCAGAUGUCAUACAGGGGCAGAGAACAAUGGUCUUUUGGGAAUGCCUGUUAACUUUUUGGAGCUGCCAGGUAAAUUUUGGUACGAAUUUAUGUUAGUUCUACUUUUCCAUGAUGUUUAAUUGCUCGGUUCUUAAGGGCUUGUAAGAGGAGAUGGAUUUUGGACUACUCUAUUUUGGAUGCCAGUAAAGCGGAUCUGCAGAUGAAAAAUAAAAGGGUGUGCAUGGUGUUUUUUUCUUACAGAAUACUUUUAUAUGCCCUGUUCUAUUUUGCUUCAGGUUUAGGACUAUUUGGUCUGCUACAUAAUCCAUGUUUAUAACUGCAAAAGCUUAUUUUUAUUAUUAUCAUAUUUACUAUUUGUCAGUAGUAAUACAUAACACGUCGCUGGUGAAAAGCCUACUGGAAAGAUUAAUUACUCAAUAAUGUUGUCUUAAGAAUCAAUUUUUUUGAAAAGUUCUAUGUUAACCACUGUUGCCAUCUGUUCCUAUUUGUUGUUUUUUCCUAUGGCAGUUUGGAGCAAGUGAUUGGCCUAUAAUCUAAUUAAUAUUCAGGCUUGCUGAGAAUUUUUUACUAUGAGAUAAGUAGAUGAUCAUUUAACCCACAGCGAAGAUAAAGUAGAUUAUGGUGACCGAACUGAGCACACGCUGACUUAGUGCUUCGACCCUUCAUGUUUAUUAUUCACUAAUUCUGGUCCUUCCAUUACUAUUGAACUAAAUUCAAAGUUGUUGCUAUGUCAAUUCGGUUGCCUGCUUGCCAUAGUUUAUCUCCCUGUUGAUUAGCUAAUUGGCAUGAGAAAGAAACAUAUGCAUCUACAUGUAUCUUAUCUCU